UGUGCCUGGUUCAGCCCGCUG
rnacentral:misc_RNA from 1 species